rnacentral:rRNA from 1 species
UACGUAGGGGUCUAGCGUUGUCCGGAAUUAUUGGGCGUAAAGAGCUCGUAGGCGGUUUGUCGCGUCUGCUGUGAAAACCUAAGGCUCAACCUUGGGCUUGCAGUGGGUACGGGCAGACUAGAGUGCGGUAGGGGUGACUGGAAUUCCUGGUGUAGCGGUGGAAUGCGCAGAUAUCAGGAGGAACACCGAUGGCGAAGGCAGGUCACUGGGCCGCAACUGACGCUGAGGAGCGAAAGCAUGGGGAGCGAACAGG